rnacentral:rRNA from 1 species
CUAGCGACUUCAGAGUUUGAUCCUGGCUCAGGAUGAACGCUGGCGGCGUGCCUAACACAUGCAAGUCGGGCGGGAUUUUGCUGAAUGACGCUUCGGUUGAUUUCAGUGAAUGAGAGCGGCGGACGGGUGAGUAACGCGUAGGCAACCUGCCCUUUGCAGAGGGAUAGCCAUUGGAAACGAUGAUUAAAACCUCAUAAUGCCAAGUUCAGACAUCUUUACUUGGCCAAAGAUUUAUCGGCAAAGGAUGGGCCUGCGUCUGAUUAGCUAGUUGGUGGGGUAACGGCCUACCAAGGCGACGAUCAGUAGCCGACCUGAGAGGGUGAUCGGCCACAUUGGAACUGAGACACGGUCCAA